UACGAAGGGGGCGAGCGUUGUUCGGAAUUACUGGGCGUAAAGGGCGCGUAGGCGGCCGAGCAAGUUAGAUGUGAAAGUCCUGGGCUUAACCUGGGGACUGCAUUUGAUACUGCUUGGCUUGAAUUCGGGAGAGGAUAGCGGAAUUCCCAGUGUAGAGGUGAAAUUCGUAGAUAUUGGGAAGAACACCGGUGGCGAAGGCGGCUAUCUGGACCGACAUUGACGCUGAGGCGCGAAAAGCGUGGGGGAGCAAACAGG
rnacentral:rRNA from 1 species